rnacentral:rRNA from 1 species
CCUACGGGAGGCAGCAGUGGGGAAUAUUGCGCAAUGGGCGAAAGCCUGACGCAGCGACGCCGCGUGAGGGAUGAAGGUCUUCGGAUCGUAAACCUCUGUCAGCAGGGAAGAACGGUCACUGUGCUAAUCAGCAGUGAAUUGACGGUACCUGCAAAGGAAGCACCGGCUAACUCCGUGCCAGCAGCCGCGGUAAUACGGAGGUUGCGAGCGUUAAUCGGAAUUACUGGGCGUAAAGCGCUCGUAGGCGGUAUGUCAAGUCAAGGGUGAAAUCCCCGCGCUCAACGUGGGAACUGCCUUUGAAACUGGCAAACUGGAGUGUGUGAGAGGAUAGUGGAAUUCCAGGUGUAGGAGUGAAAUCCGUAGAUAUCUGGAGGAACACCAGUGGCGAAGGCGACUAGCUGGAACAUAACUGACGCUGAGGAGCGAAAGCGUGGGUAGCAAACAGGAUUAGAUACCCUAGUAGUC